UUCCUACGGGCGGCUGCAGUGGGGAAUAUUGGGCAAUGGGCGAAAGCCUGACCCAGCAACGCCGCGUGAGGGAAGAAGGUUUUCGGAUUGUAAACCUCUGUCCUUGGGGACGAACAGAUGACGGUACCCAAGGAGGAAGCCCCGGCUAACUACGUGCCAGCAGCCGCGGUAAUACGUAGGGGGCGAGCGUUGUCCGGAAUUACUGGGCGUAAAGGGUGCGUAGGCGGCAGUUUAAGUCAGAUGUGAAAUCCCCGGGCUCAACCCGGGUAUUGCAUUUGAAACUGGGCAGCUAGAGUGCAGGAGAGGGAAGCGGAAUUCCUAGUGUAGCGGUGAAAUGCGUAGAUAUUAGGAGGAACACCAGUGGCGAAGGCGGCUUUCUGGACUGCAACUGACGCUGAGGCACGAAAGCGUGGGGAGCAAACAGGAUUAGAUACCCUGGUAGUC
rnacentral:rRNA from 1 species